ensembl:lncRNA
AUGGAGUACAACUUUGGAGACAUUAUUUAUCACACAUCGGAUGGACUGGGAGGUUGUAUCACAGGCAGAUGUUCAGUCAAUGGAACUAUUGAGAGGACUUUUAUACCUUGUGAAAUGACUACUGUCCCAACAACCACAUCCACCGUGACCACAACACAGACAUUAACAUCAACCCCAACAACAGUUUUUGUCUUCAGCACCCCAGAAAAUACUUCAACUGAAAUUGAAAAAGAAACAACCACAGCUCACAAAGUUUUAUCCACAUCCAGCAAGCCAGAACAACUGACAAGUGGACAUUUAAGUCAACAAACAACUGAAGUUAUUCUAACUGCUUCUACUACAAAAAUUUUAUAUUCAACUGAAAAACUGAUAUCAGUAACAUCAGUUUCUUCAACAUCAUCAGUUGAAACAUCAACACUGUCUUUAUCCACAACAGAAGCUAAAAUCUCUACAGAGGCACAAAGUACGAGCAGGUUGACAACAACAUCAGAAACCUCAAUCGCACCGAUUACAAAAACCCUUGCAACAGUCACUGGUAAAGCGUGGACAACACUUCAAACUACUGGUGAACAAACCACUGAGUUUGAAUUUACCACAUCUCAAAUACCUUUGUGCACAUCCACAAAGGCAUUAAAGGUGGAGACGACUGGUCUAACAAGCCAACCAACUACUACAGCAACAACUACUUUUGAAGAGGUAACAGGUACAUCAUCUGAAACAUCAACAUCUACAAGCACAGCCUUACCAGUGACACAAACAUCCACACAGCCAACAACACUAACAAAGACAACUGCUGUGGCAGUCACUACCCAUGUAUAUACAACAAUGGGUGUAAAAUCUUCCACUGGGUCUGAAGUUACCACUCAAGGUAUUUCCUCAACAACAAAACAAUUAAGUCUGAAACAACUCCUUCAACCACCACACCAGCCAUCCCAUCCACUACACUCAUUGUCGAGGAAGGAAGCACCACUGUCCAAACAUCAACAGAAUCAUCUGCUCCAAGCGUAGUGUCCACUACUUCGAAAUCAUCUACAGCUACUCAAAUAACUAACAACAACUGAGACUGUAACUGAGAAUGAAUUCACCACAGCUCAGAUUCCUUUGUCCACCACCAGGCCACCAAAGGUGGUGACAACUGGUCUAACAAGCCAACCAACGACUACAGCAACAACCACUUUAGAAGAGGUAACAGGCACAUCACCUGUAUCCCAAAAAUAUACAAGCACAGCCCUGCCAGUCACACAAACUUCAUUACCAGUCGUUACAUCCACACAACCAACAACAUUAACAACGACAACUACUGUACCAGUCACUACCCUUGUGAACACAACAGUGAGUGUAGAAUCAUCCACUGGGUCUGAGCUUACCGCUCAAGAUCUUUCUUCAACAACAAAACCAAUCAAAGCUGAAACAACUCUUUCAGCCACCUCAACAACAGUCCCGUCCACUACUGUCAUUGUCAAGGAAGGAAGCAUCACUGCCCAACCAUCUACAGAAUCAUCAGCUGCAAGCAUUGUUUCCACAACUUCAAAAUAUUCUACAGCAACUCAAACAACUGGACAACCAACAACAACUGAGACUGUAACUGAGAAUGAAUUGACCACAGCUCACACGCAUUUGUCCACAACCACUAGGUCACCAAAGGUGGUGACGACUGGUGUAUCACGCCAACCUACAACUGCAACUACAAGAACAACUUUAGAAGUGGAAACAACUUUUGAAACAACUAAAACAGUAUAUAUUCCAACCGUUUCACCAUUUCCUCUCAAAAUAUUUUCUACUCAUCCACAUCCAUGGAGACAUCGAUUGCCCCCAUUACACAAACAUUACCAUAUUUUACUAACUCCUUUCCAGUGACUACAAAAUCCUCUUUAUUCUCAACCACUUCAGUUGUAUGUUGCUUUGUGAAUGGCACAUAUUUUCCAUCAGUUACCAAAUUCACAUUUUACUUUAUUAUUUUUUUUAUUAUUAUUAUUUAAUAAUCAUGAGAAAAGCUGAAAUUUGUAAC